rnacentral:rRNA from 1 species
CUGUAAGCCUGUGAAGGUGGCCUGUGAGGGUUGCUGGAGGUAUCAGAAGUGCGAAUGCUGACAUAAGUAACGAUAAAGCGGGUGAAAAGCCCGCUCGCCGGAAGACCAAGGGUUCCUGUCCAACGUUAAUCGGGGCAGGGUGAGUCGACCCCUAAGGCGAGGCCGAAAGGCGUAGUCGAUGGGAAACGGGUUAAUAUUCCCGUACUUGGUGUUACUGCGAAGGGGGGACGGAGAAGGCUAUGUUGGCCGGGCGACGGUUGUCCCGGUUUAAGCGUGUAGGUGUGUGUUCCAGGUAAAUCCGGUUCACUUUAACACUGAGGCGUGAUGACGAGGCACUACGGUGCUGAAGCAACAAAUGCCCUGCUUCCAGGAAAAGCCUCUAAGCAUCAGGUAACAUCAAAUCGUACCCCAAACCGACACAGGUGGUCAGGUAGAGAAUACCAAGGCGCUUGAGAGAACUCGGGUGAAGGAACUAGGCAAAAUGGUGCCGUAACUUCGGGAGAAGGCACGCUGACAUGUAGGUGAAGUGAUUUACUCAUGGAGCUGAAGUCA